rnacentral:rRNA from 1 species
UGCAGUCGAGGGGCAGCAUGAACAAUAGCAAUAUUGUUUGAUGGCGACCGGCGCACGGGUGCGUAACACGUAUGUAAUCUGCCUUAUACUGGGGCAUAACUCCGAGAAAUCGGUGCUAAUUCCCCAUAACACUGCGAAGUGGCAUCACUUUGCAGUUAAAGCUCCGGCGGUAUAAGAUGAACAUGCGUCCAAUUAGUUAGUUGGUGAGGUAACGGCUCACCAAGACUCCGAUUGGUAGGGGUUCUGAGAGGAUGAUCCCCCACACUGGUACUGAGACACGGACCAGACUCCUACGGGAGGCAGCAGUGAGGAAUAUUGCGCAAUGGACGAAAGUCUGACGCAGCCAUGCCGCGUGAAGGAUUGAAGGCCCUAUGGGUUGUAAACUUCUUUUGUACGGGAAAAAACGCUUCUAUGUAUAGGAGCCUGAUGGUACCGUAAGAAUAAGCACCGGCUAACUCCGUGCCAGCAGCCGCGGUAAUACGGAGGGUGCAAGCGUUAUCCGGAUUUAUUGGGUUUAAAGGGUCCGUAGGCGGACUAAUAAGUCAGUGGUGAAAGCCCCUUGCUCAACAAGGGAACUGCCAUUGAUACUGUUAGUCUUGAGUACAAGUGAGGUUGGCGGAAUGUGUGGUGUAGCGGUGAAAUGCUUAGAUAUCACACAGAACACCGAUUGCGAAGGCAGCUGGCCAACUUGUAACUGACGCUGAGGGAC